rnacentral:tRNA from 1 species
GCCGGCUUAGCUCAGUUGGUAGAGCAACGGUUUUGUAAACCGAAGGUCGGCGGUUCGAUCCCGUCAGCCGGCACCA